rnacentral:rRNA from 1 species
CGGGUAACGGGGUGUUAGGGCACGACACCGGAGAGGGAGCCUGAGAAACGGCUACCACAUCCAAGGAUGGCAGCAGGCGCGCAAAUUACCCAAUCCCGACACGGGGAGGUAGUGACAAUAAAUAACAAUACGGGGUUCUUUAGGAUCUCGUAAUUGGAAUGAGUACAAUUUAAAUCUCUUAACGAGGAACAAUUGGAGGGCAAGUCUGGUGCCAGCAGCCGCGGUAAUUCCAGCUCCAAUAGCGUAUAUUAAAGUUGUUGCAGUUAAAAAGCUCGUAGUUGAAUUUCGAGACCGGCUUACUGGUCGUGCUUUUGUACGUACUGGUGUAAUCGGUUUCUCCUUUCUGACGAACUAUAAUGCCAUUAAUUUGGUGUUAUAGGGAAUCAGGACUGUUACUUUGAAAAAAUUAGAGUGUUUAAAGCAGGCUCACGCUUGAAUACAUUAGCAUGGAAUAACGGAAUAGGACGUUUGAUUCUAUUUUGUUGGUUUCUAGGAUCGACGUAAUGAUUAAUAGGGAUAGUUGGGGGCAUUAGUAUUCAAUUGUCAGAGGUGAAAUUCUUGGAUUUAUUGAAGACUAACUACUGCGAAAGCAUUUGCCAAGGAUGUUUUCAUUAAUCAAGAACGAAAGUUAGGGGAUCGAAGACGAUCAGAUACCGUCGUAGUCUUAACCAUAAACUAUGCCGACUAGGGAUCGGAUGAUGUUAAUUUUUUAAUGACUCAUUCGGCGCCUUACGG